UUUCAUCAAAAGUCUUUAUCUGUAACAUUAAAUGUCAUGAUUAUACCAAUACACAGUUACUGGUCAUAAUUAUAUCAAUCAACAAUUCAUCUUUGCACUAUGGGCCAAAUAUAUUCAUCAAUCAAAAGUUCAUCUUUGCACUACGGCCAAAGUUAUUGCCAAAGAUAACUUUAACCACAAUUUAAGUCUGAGGAUUAUGACAAUGAUAUAAAG
rnacentral:lncRNA from 1 species